rfam:Salmo salar isolate Sally breed double haploid chromosome ssa17, whole genome shotgun sequence.
AUGGAAAAUGUAUGCAGUAAGUCGCUCUGGAUAAGAGCGUCUGCUAAAUGACAAAAA